rnacentral:antisense_RNA from 1 species
UUCUUCUAUGGAUAAAUGUGUUGACCAAUUUAAUACUUUCU